GGGGAAUAUUGCACAAUGGGGGAAACCCUGAUGCAGCAACGCCGCGUGAGCGAUGAAGGUUUUCGAAUCGUAAAGCUCUGUCCUAAGGGAAGAUAAUGACGGUACCUUAGGAGGAAGCCCCGGCUAACUACGUGCCAGCAGCCGCGGUAACACGUAGGGGGCAAGCGUUAUCCGGAAUUAUUGGGCGUAAAGGGUGCGUAGGCGGCCUUAUGGGUCAGAGGUUAAAUACUAUAGCUUAACUAUAGUCCGCCUUUGAAACUAUAAGGCUUGAGUGCAGGAGAGGAGAGUGGAAUUCCUAGUGUAGCGGUGAAAUGCGUAGAUAUUAGGAGGAAUACCAGUGGCGAAGGCGACUCUCUGGACUGCAACUGACGCUAAGGCACGAAAGCGUGGGUAGCGAAC
rnacentral:rRNA from 1 species